GAGGGUUUUCGUGCGGCAUCCGUUCCGUGAAAACCGCGGAAUGCGCAGUGCGCAGUGUACGUGCGCACAGCCAACAUAUCGCUGGAAUAAUGCUUGCUUUUCCGCGUGACGUCAGGCGCGUCACUUUUAGUAGUCGGCCAGCAGCAGGCGACGAGCCGCGGCCUUCGAAACGCGUCCUUUUUUUUGUGUUCGAGGCACGCCGUGCCUGCGCUAUACCUCGGUGUGUGAUGUGUGCGCUCAACGUUGCAGUCGCUGUGUGGUUGUGCUGCUGCUUUGUGAAGCGACAACUAGUCGUGCCAUUUAAGUGAUGUGUGCAAGGAUACCGUGCAAACGCCAACGAGCCGCAGCUGCCCGUCUUUUCCUUGCCGAAUGAAGCAAGCCGCCGUCAAAAGUGACUACGGGCAAAACCGGUGAAGCUAUGAGCUCGUCAAAGUGUUGAAGCUUAGCUGGUCGUUUCCUGCAACUUGGGAGCAGACGUCAAGCUGGUGUUGGAGGUCAGCUGCUGAUUCUGCUAGCAGCACAAUAUCAUCGGCGAAUGCCAGACAUGAGAUCUUGGUGUAUUCCUCCUGCCCGCCAGUUGUUAUCGUGGAAAGUCGGAGGCCUGGUCCCUCUUUGUCUAAUGUUUGAAGGAGUUGUGUAAUGUAUACAUCAAAUAGUGUUUGGGACAAGGGA